rnacentral:rRNA from 1 species
UACGGGGGGGGCAAGCGUUGUUCGGAAUUACUGGGCGUAAAGGGCUCGUAGGCGGCCAACUAAGUCCGACGUGAAAUCCCAAGGCUUAACCUUGGAACUGCGUCGGAUACUGGAUGGCUUGAAUUCGGGAGAGGGAUGCAGAAUUCCAGGUGUAGCGGUGAAAUGCGUAGAUAUCGUGAGGAACACCAGAGGCGAAGGCGGCUACCUGGACAAUUGCUGACGCUCAGGCACGAAAGCGUGGGGAGCAAAAGGG